ACUCAAAGGAAUUGACGGGGGCCCGCACAAGCGGUGGAGCAUGUGGAUUAAUACGUCACUAACCGUAGAACCUUACCCAGGCUUGACAUCUCCGGAACCGCUCUGAAAGGAGGGGGUGCCCCGCAAGGGGAGCCGGAAGACAGGUGUUGCAUGGCUGUCGUCAGCUCGUGUCGUGAGAUGUUGGGUUAAGUCCCGCAACGAGCGCAACCCUCACCGUAUGUUGCCAGCGUCAAGUCGGGCACUCUUACGGAACUGCCCGGGUAACCGGGAGGAAGGUGGGGAUGACGUCAAGUCAGCAUGGCCCUUACGCCUGGGGCUUCACACAUGCUACAAUGGCCGGUACAAAGGGUUCCGAGACCGCGAGGUGGAGGCAAUCCCAAAAAGCCGGUCCCAGUUCGGAUCGCAGGCUGCAACUCGCCUGCGUGAAGCCGGAAUCGCUAGUAACCGCCGAUCAGCUAAGCGGCAGUGAAUACGUUCCCGGGCCUUGCACACACCGCCCGU
rnacentral:rRNA from 1 species